CUGACUGCUAUCGGAUUGAUACUAAGCCAUGCGAGUCAUUGUAGUAAUACAAGGCAGACGGCUCAGUAACGCGUAGUCAACCUAACCUAUGGACGGGAAUAACCUCGGGAAACUGAGUAUAAUGCCCGAUAGAACAUUAUGCCUGGAAUGGUUUAUGUUUCAAAUGAUUUAUCGCCGUAGGAUGGGACUGCGGCCUAUCAGUUUGUUGGUGAGGUAAUGGCCCACCAAGACUAUUACAGGUACGGGCUCUGAGAGGAGUAGCCCGGAGAUGGGUACUGAGACACGGACCCAGGCCCUAUGGGGCGCAGCAGGCGAGAAAACUUUGCAAUGUGCGAAAGCACGACAAGGUUAAUCCGAGUGGUUUCUGCUAAAGGAACCUUUUGACAGUCCUAGAAACACUGUUGAAUAAGGGGUGGGCAAGUUCUGGUGUCAGCCGCCGCGGUAAAACCAGCACCUCAAGUGGUCGGGAUGAUUAUUGGGCCUAAAGCAUCCGUAGCCGGCUCUGUAAGUUUUCGGUUAAAUCUGUACGCUCAACGUACAGGCUGCCGGGAAUACUGCAGAGCUAGGGAGUGGGAGAGGUAGACGGUACUCGGUAGGAAGGGGUAAAAUCCUUUGAUCUAUUGAUGACCACCUGUGGCGAAGGCGGUCUACCAGAACACGUCCGACGGGUGAGGGAUGAAAGCUGGGGGAGCAAACCGGAUUAGAUACCCGGGUAGUCCCAGCUUGUAAACCAUGCAAACUCAGUGACGCCUUGGCUUUGUGGCCCAAUGCAGUGCUGCAAGGGAAGCCCG
rnacentral:rRNA from 1 species